CCCUUAGAUGUCCUGGGCCGCACGCGCGCUACACUGACAUGUUCAACAAGCCUCCUAGUUCGACAGGAUUUGGGAAAUCUUUGAACGCAUGUCGUGAUAGGGAUAGAUCAUUGCAAUUAUUGAUCUUGAACGAGGAAUUCCUAGUAAACGCGAGUCAUCAGCUCGCAUUGAUUACGUCCCUGCCCUUUGUACACACCGCCCGUCGCUACUACCGAUUGAAUGGUUUAGUGAGGACUCCUGAUUGGCGCCGCCGCCCCGGCAACGGAGCAGCGGACUGCCGAAAAGUUGUUCAAACUUGAUCAUUUAGAGGAAGUAAAAGUCGUAACA
rnacentral:rRNA from 1 species